UCACAGAGCUGCUGCUUUCUACAUUAUCGCAACUGCCAGAGCUCUUACUGCUGCAGUUUUCUAGUCGCAGUGCGGCAAAGCAGACGCAUAGAACCAGGCACAAAGCAGCAUAGAUUUUUUUCAUUCUUAUCUUUUUCAUAUGAGGGGAAUAUUCCUGGUGUUAGCGUAGGAACAGACACAGCUUGGAUGUGUUGGCUUCCGCCUGGCAGCAUUUUCAGCUAAGCAGGGACUGCUCGGAGCUCUGUACCCAAAUUGCCUCUGAGGAAGAACGCCUGAUUUCCCACUUUGCGUACUAAGAGGGUUUUUUUCUUUAUGCUACAGUGAUGUACCUGCAGCAAUCGGACAAAGGAGAUGGCACUUGUCACUUUCUGUCCGACUGGGGCCUUUUGCAGGUACUCCACGGCCGAAGCUGUGCCAGCAGCCCAGGGUCAGAUAGAUUGGUAAUACAGAUUGCCGCAAUUUCUUACAUCAGUUAGGGCAAAGCUCAAACAAGAAACCAGACUCUCUGACCUAAAUCAGUCCAGUCCUUCUGGAUACAGGGCAGCAGUCGACUAGCAAUGACACAACCAGCCAUCAAGUGGAGAGUCUCUGGGAUUGCAAUCUGUAUCAGUUGGAGUCUGAGAGAAUGAAACCCUUUCGGGUAUCCAGUCGCUUCUUCUUCUAAUACUACAAAUACUACAACUACAGCUACUACUACUGCUACUUCUGUUUUUCUUGCCUGUGAGAAGCUGUUAAUCGCGGUUGGUCUCUGACUGUACAUUUGCGUGGAUUAGUCUGCCUAUAACGCAGUCCUUAUCUGCUCCUGCUGGAAACCGGGGCACGAAGUCAGCCUGCUUUAACAGUUGUUUCUUUCUGCGUGAUGCUAUGCAACUAGAAUGGGUUACACUGACAACAAAGGAACAAGCACAAAGCACCACUUUCUUUGCUGGACUGUUACAGGAACAUAGCUCUUCUUCGAUAUGACACCCCGGUCUUUUCUCUUUGCUGGCUUUUUAUUUUAUUUUAUUUUUAAAAUUUAAUUCAUCUAAUCGAAGAGCCUAACAGACACCAUCGUGAAUGUGGCUUUUAAUGAUUUGGAAAAGACAGCCUGUGGAGACUGCGAUUCGAGACAGCAACACAUUUAGGUUAUUGCCAAUUUGAAAUACUUGGUUUGUGAAGCACAGCCCUAAGGGACGAGCUCAGUAACUGAGGGAGAGAUUGUAGAUAAAGAAAUAAAAAUGACAAGCAUAAUGGAGGCUCUGGAAAAGAGACUGUCAGAGAAUCAGUUCAUGGAUGGCAAUUUCACCAGUCUGAAUCUGAAUAAUUCAUAGAUUGAAAUUACCCUGCUUUCACCUUUCCAUUUAAACCGGCAUGAUCUGAAUCUCUAAUAAAUUUUCAAGAUAAAGUAAAAUGCCAAUUUGAAUCUGAAGAGCUUUUAAAACCAGAUGCUACACCCUGAAUCUUUCGAUACCUUUCACAAUUAUCCUGUGAGAACCGCACUUCAUCACGAAGCACCAUUACCAGUGAAAAUUACUGUGAUUACAAUAGCAACAAUAGAAUACCAUCAAAUGAUCUCUAAUCUACCUAAUUUACCAAGGCUGACUGUGUGCCCAUUGUGUUUCACUACGUCUGGCAUUGGAUCAAUAUCACAGUGGAACAAAAAUGCCUUAGUGUGUGCUUCCUUUUGGUACCUUUAACUUUGACAGAACAGGAAAAAAUUCUACCUGCUGUUAAAUGUUUUUACAGCCAAUCUACAUGCCUGCUGUAGGAUCUGAUUGAUUCUCUAUGAUUUUCUUUAGUUCUUGGGUAUCAGAUGUCUUUGUGUUACUAAUUAGUUUAUAAUGUAUACUCAUGCACAAAGCCUGCAGCGAGUGCCAGCACAGGGACCCUGCACUGCUGCUGCAGUUGCAGCACUCUCACUGGGGAAGCCAAAAUGAGUUCGGUGCCUUAUGUGAAUAUUUCCUCCUGUCUGAGUUAGAAAUGCUUUGUAGCAUCACCGAUCUUUUCACUACGUGAAAAAUGUAUGCAAAAGCUAUGGUCAAGAAAAAUGAUUGCGUGCAAUACUAACAAGACUUUCCCCCUGUUCAGCAAUUUGCAUGUGGUCAUGAGAGACAGGCUGUGACUCCUUCUGCAUGUGUGCGUGUGUGCGUGUGUGUGUGUGCAUGCACAUACAUAAAUGUAAAGCUACUGUGCUCUGUGAAUGAAUAUGUGCUGAUCUCUGAAAGUAACAACUUUCUCUGACAAGCCAGGCGUUGUGUUUUGCUGCAAUCUGCUCAGUUGUAACAAAUCCCUCUUUUGGAGGCGUAAAUUUCCUAUAGGAGGAUGCGUGACUUCUGGGACAGUAAGUACCAUUUAUGCAAUAUGUUGGUGCCUAUAGCUGUGCUGUGGAAUCGUAUUUUAAGCGUAGUUUGUAGCAUCACUAGAAUGUGAAGAAGGGAGAAACAUUCAGAAGGCUAGAAACAGGCAUUCUUCAUGGAGGUGACUCUAUCUGUUUGUAUGUGUGUGAGUUGUACACUUCAGGCUUGUUUUUCGUUUUAUAAUCAGAUGUACUCUGCCUUCAGGAAAUAUUUUCGAAGAGGAAGGUAAGCAGUAUUUCUUCUUAUUUCUAUGACUGUGUUGUAUUUCUGUUGAGGGAAGUGCAUGUUUACAGCACAGUUAUAUAACACAGCAUGAUCUCAUGACAUCUAAUUAAAUGUUUCAAUAAUUGUUCACAUUAAAACUGGGCAAGAAAGCGUAUUUAAAAUACAGAUUUUUAUUGAAAAUUAACUUCUAGAAAUGCUAUGCAAAAACAAUUUACAGGUUUUAUUUGCAUUCAUCUUUUGCUCUUUACUGUUGUUAAAUAAGUGCUUAUUCUACCUAAAUACUAAUGAUCUUGAAACCUUCGGUUUUUAUACAUUUUGUCUUUUCAAAUCACAAUUUACUGUACUUCUAAAUUUUCUGUAUAUUAGUUGUCUAGAGGUAGGAGAGGCAAAAGGUUUAACAGCUUGAGCUGUGAUAACAAAGGAACUUGAAAGGGCACAAAAUAUGAUUAUACAAAAGUCUCAAAUUUUAAAUUAUUCAGUAAUGUGAUCUACCAAAAUGCUUUUCUUAGACAACACACUCUCAAGUUACUACACUAUCUGGAAAUAAUUAGUCCACUCAGUACUAUAUUUAUGUUCUUCACAUAGUACUUCACAUAGUAUUUUCACAUAGUAUUCAAAACUUAACAAAGAAAAACCCAAGAGCAAAUACCGACACCUUGGUAAAAGUGUAACACCUACAUAUGUUACUGUCACAAUAAAAUCAAGACAUUCAGACUAAACUUUGCUGAAGAGAACUAGUCAUUGUGGUUUAACUAUCUUAUGAAGAGCACUUUAUGUUUUUACAUACAGAAAUAUAACAUACUGAUAUAAUUAUUAUACUGCGAGGACCAUGCAAACAGAAAUGUGAAUGUUUUCUGAAAUACCAUACAAGUACCUGGCAGCAUUUACAAUAUUAUUAUUAUGGCCACACUCCUCCAGUAUCAUAUGCUGCAUUGAAAUCAUUAACUAAUUGGAUUCCACAGAGUAUUUACAACCCUAAUUUUUUUAUCAGUCUUAUCUGCUGCCACAGCCUGUAGAAAGCAGCUGGCCAUGGGGUGCAAGUUGUCCUCACUAACAAGUGCAGAGCAGAGCUAAGAGAGAGCUCACAAGCUAUUGGUGACUUUACAUAAGGGCCCUAUCUAAAUCAUUCUCUGGAACUGCACUGGAGUCCUCCAACUUUGCAUUUCUGUUAUUGAACUUUGAACAUGCCACUGGCUUUUUCCCACUGCUCCAUACUGGCCUCACAUUCCAAAACAUACAGUGCUGCUGAGGCCUAAUGCUGUUUUCCAGUCUGAGCCCCUGCAGGAGUUGCCAGACACUAUUAGGACAGCACCUAACCUAGGACAGGAGGUGAGAGUAUCUGUGACAGUCUGAUAAAAGUCCUCUGGAAAACUUUGGAAACCUUGGGAAGUGAACUCUUCCUUUUGGGGCAAUGUGUGUUUCAAAGACAGCAAGAUUGCAGUCUGUCAGCAGGAUACACUACAUGUGCAAAUGGGAAAAAUAGCCUUCAAACGUUUUCAGACACAGGACUGUGAAGAGAAUAUUAGAAAUAUUGCAUCAUAGAAAGUAUUAAAAUGUAGUCAAGUCAUAUCAUCCAUGUAUUUCCUGAUAUGGCUAUUGCCAAUCAGGUAACUACAGCUGAAGGGUUCAGGAUUUGUAAUUGUAUGUGUCAAAAUAAAUGGCGGACUGCAAUAGGAAACUUCUAACAUAAUUAAUGUUAGAAUUUCAGCAAUAGGGAUUCAACAGUUAACAUACUUUUGCAUCAAAAGAUGCAUUAGUCAGGUUUUAUGCCUGUUUUUCUCCAUUUUACACUUGUCUAUAAAUCGAUCUCUAAUGGCAAAUGAAGGACAAAACCCUUCUUUACAUGAGUUCCUAACUAAACACAGAUAUCCACUUCAGUAAAAUUACUCCCAUGCAUUUGGUGAGCCCUUAUCUGCAGCUAAGCAGCAGCCAUGAUGCAACCACACACAUGAAAAACAUAUUGGAGCCCAUUCUAUUGCCUUUUAAUAAUAAGUCUCUCUGUGCCAUCAACAUAAAAGACAGAUCCAUUAAUUUCCUUUCAUUACAUCCUUUCAUUUGUGAAAGCUGCUGCUAUUUUAUUGGAUUUUUUUCCUCUCCUUGAUUACAAGAGUUGUGUACAAUUGACACGAUGCUGAACAGAAGAUCCUUUCUGUUCACCAGGACACAAGACCUCAGCUAAACCUACACUGAAAUCAACAUCUCAGGAUAGGUUUAUUUGACAACUGAAGGGACUUUUCUCAUCUGUAAUUCUGGUGAUAAUAUUUGUGUUCACUUGCUUGUCAAUUCUGCAUUAUCAUCUGCUAUAAAACACAAGUUCUGAUCUGUAAUGGUUGUAUCUAUUUGGACAAGAGCCCUGAGGAUAGGAAGGUCUGUUGUGGAUUUCAUUGCGGGUAUUUUUCACUGUACUGUUGCUUUGAAUUAAUUACAACUGCCUAUGGAAAUAUGAUCUCUUAAGAAUGUAGAGAAAUACAUUAUUAAUGAUUAUGUAUGAAGAAAGAUUCCCCUGCACUCUGGUUGCUAUGAAUUUCACACCAUUAUUCCCAAAGAAAAACAUUAGGAAGAAAGUAACUUGAAGUUAAAACAGCAGCAUUUCCAAACCAAUCAUUUUUGACACAGGAAAUUCAGUGUUAAACAGAAGAAAAUUCAAGUGGUUCACUGACACUAUUAAAAUACCUGAGCAGAUCCCUUCCUCUUUGAUGCCAUAACUCCAGGAUGUGAUAGAGGUAAAUAACUUUGCCAUGUCAGUUUAUAUUAUACAGAUAGGAUCAAAACCACCUUUGGCUUCAAAAGUAUUUGCACAGCAUUUCACAGGAUCGGUUCAGUUUCUUUAUGGACUAUAAAUGUACACCUGCUCUGUGCUUUUAGCUGUAUAACAUAACCAGAAGAUCUGAAAAUCAAAUUAUUUCUGACCAAUCAAAAGAGGCAAAUGAAAUCCUAAAUGGGAAUUGCAGAAGAGGCAAUGGGUUUCCCAGGUCUCAUGCCAACAGAUGAUUGCUGUGGGUUUUCCAGGUCAGGUUAAACUUCUUACUGUGUUAGAACUUGUUCUUCCCCCAUAGUUAAAAAAGAGCAGGAAUUCAUUAUAUGGCCAAAGUUUUGCCCAAAACCAUAAUGGCUUUUUUUUCUUUUCUAACUACGUUUGACAUUAUUUCUGCCACAGGUCUUGCCUCAAAGUUUAUCAAGAAAUUCUGCCCAAAAGAAUAUUUGCAAUGCUGCACUUCAUUUGUGGAUGGUCAUGCAUUGUGAAGCACACACAAUGAAUUAGCAGUUGUCGUAAAUGCUAAAGUGGGAAACGUUGUCAAAAUGGAAAAAAAAAAAUAAAUUGAUUGAUUAUGGUGUUGCCACUGUACUGUUCACUUAUACUCAAUAUUUCACAGAUAGUGCAGAAAUGAAUGUACAGCUAAAUUAUAUGCAGUUACACCCAGCGAAAUGCUCAGUAGAAAAGCCUUAUGUUGUACUCACCUGUUUCUGUUUCUUCUGCCUAUGUUCAUUCAAAACCCACCUCUAGUGGCACAGCAGUCACAACAAUUGGCUACCCCUCUGACCUGCAGGUAAGAAGGUUCAGUGAGACGGCCAAAGGAUGAGAUCCCGCAUCUUGUGCUCCUAAAGGUAACCUGAAGCCAGGGUGGUUCCAGGCAUAUUGGAUCCCACACCUUGGCAGAGGAUUAUUUCUGCACAUGUUUCAGGACAGCUCAGCACUAAAGACUUAUAGGGGGAGGAAAAAAAAAAUUAUGAUCCCUCAAAAAUUUGCUUGGAUCCCUUGGAGUUUCAAAGAUUUCUUAAAGUCCUCAAUGAGUGCAAGCAAAUUGAUUGGUAUAAAAGUAGGUCUCAAGUCUUUGUCUAUCUAGACAUAAAGCCUCUUUCACUAAAAUGAAGUAUGAGGGAAGACAAGACAGUCUCUUAAAACAAGAAUUUCAUUCAUUUGUGCAUUACUGUAAUUAUACUACUGUCUUAAAUGCUCUCAGAUUAAUGGUGCUGUGACAAUGCAAUCUUGCACAAUCUGAAACAGAGCUUGAGCCCUCCCUGAAUGUUACUGGCUCCUUUACAGCCUCCUACUUGUAUUUGACAGUGUAGGGCACAUUCCAAAGAAAAUGAGGAUAGUUUCUCUGUCCUGCUUACCUACUGCUUUUGUAACACCUUGGUGUAAAAGUUAAUAGCAAAAUAGAUGAUGCAUUUUCUUAGCUGGACCCAGCCCAACAACCAUGCUAAUGAUAAUGCAAUUAUACCUGGGAUGCAAGUUUUCAUUUAAGUACAUUUCCCCCAGCAUUUCCAAUAUGUGAUUUUUGGGGGGAAAAAAAAAGAGAAAAAAAAAGAAUUUUUAAUAGUUUUAAUUUCCUCCAGAAGCACAAAAUCAUUCAAUGCUUUUUCCCUCUCCUUCAGGUAGCUUUCAUCACUGCAGACACAACAACAAGUAGUUAUUUGAAGUUUUCUUGUUUGCUGAACUUCCAGAGCCUUUCAGGGUACAUUUCAGAAUUUCUCACACAGUGUCAACUGCCCAGGAUUCUGCAGAUCUACAACAAGUUACAGCAGCUGAGAACCCGCCCAGAAAACUCCAUGUUGGCUGACACAGCAAAAUUGGAAAUCCAGCCCUACAAAGCACAGUUUUUGUGAGCUCAUUGCACACAAGACUGUCAGUUGAUCGUUUCUGAGCUCUCUACCAAAAGGGAAAGAGAAAAGGGAAGCAAUGUACAAUCUGCAGUCCCCCUUUCCUGAAGCCCUUUGCUCAUAGGGGCUUUUCUAGGAUUUACAUAAUACAGUGAUGAAGUGAGGCCACCAAGCUGUGGGAACUUCAGCUUUCAUUUUCAUGGAUCAUUUUCAUCAGAAGACUAGCUGAAACAUUCUGUUCCCUUUUCCCAAGAAAAUAUCCCUGAUGGUCCAUGCUUCUUCUACAAUACUUCACAGUGAAUUCUCAGAGACUUACAUAGCUCACCUCUAGUUGUCCCACCUAAACUUUCUUACACUCUAAUUUCUAGGUCAAAUUACUGCAUCAAGUAAUUUAAAUAAAUAAUUAAUAGGAAACA